rnacentral:rRNA from 1 species
GGCAGCACGGACUUCGGUCUGGUGGCGAGUGGCGAACGGGUGAGUAACAUAUCGGAACGUAUCCAAUAAUGGGGGAUAACUAAUCGAAAGGUUGGCUAAUACCGCAUACGCCCUACGGGGGAAAGCUAGGGACCUUCGGGCCUGGCGUUAAUGGAGCGGCCGAUAUCUGAUUAGCUAGUUGGUGGGGUAAAGGCCCACCAAGGCGACGAUCAGUAGCUGGUCUGAGAGGACGACCAGCCACACUGGAACUGUGACACGGUCCAGACUCCUACGGGAGGCAGCAGUGGGGAAUUUUGGACAAUGGGCGCAAGCCUGAUCCAGCCAUUCCGCGUGAGUGAAGAAGGCCUUCGGGUUGUAAAGCUCUUUCGCAAGGGAAGAAAACUUAGCCACUAACAUUGGCUGAGGUUGACGGUACCUUGAUAAGAAGCACCGGCUAACUACGUGCCAGCAGCCGCGGUAAUACGUAGGGUGCGAGCGUUAAUCGGAAUUACUGGGCGUAAAGCGUGCGCAGGCGGUUUUGUAAGUCAGAUGUGAAAUCCCCGAGCUCAACUUGGGAACUGCGUUUGAAACUACAAGACUCGAAUAUGUCAGAGGGGGGUAGAGUUCCACGUGUAGCAGUGAAAUGCGUAGAGAUGUGGAGGAAUACCAAUGGCGAAGGCAGCCCCCUGGGAUAAUAUUGACGCUCAUGCACGAAAGCGUGGGGAGCAAACAGGAUUAGAUACCCUGGUAGUCCACGCCCUAACGAUGUCUACUAGUUGUUGGUGGAGUAAAUCCAUGAGUAACGCAGCUAACGCGUGAAGU